rnacentral:lncRNA from 1 species
AUCACUGGAAUUCUUCACACAGAACUACCAUUCACAUUACAGUGUUUCACACAAACACAGACUCAUUCUCUCUGCUGAACUACAAUCAGAUUUCAGCAUUCAAUCUUUCUUCUUCUCAAAUAAUACCAAUCACAUUUCUAUUCCAUAAUUCACUUUACAAUAUUCAGAAACUUUCAAUCCUCUUAUUCAAAGAAAAUAACAAACAAAAGAAAAAAGAUAGCACCAAGCUUACUCCAGCUCACAACUCUCACAGUCUGGCCCCCGGCUCAGCACUAUCGUAGUCUGGCAUUUUUUUCCCCUCUCCCAUCCUCCUUAUACUACCCCAAGAUACCAACUCCUAUACUACAGAUGAUAACUACUUUUCUUGACUAUUCAUCCAUUCUACCUGCUAAACCACCUUUUCAGCAGUUA